UAUCUCUGUAGAGUCUGCAUAUCAAUAAGCGGAGGAAAAGAAACUAACAAGGAUUCCCUUAGUAACGGCGAGUGAAGCGGGAAGAGCUCAAAUUUGAAAUCUUCAAGGUUUUACCUUGACGAAUUGUAGUUUAUAGAAGUGUUUUCUGUUGAGUUGCGGUAAAAGUUCUUUGGAAUAGGACAUCAUAGAGGGUGAGAAUCCCGUAUUUGACCGUUAUUUUCAGCUGUGUGAUACACUUUCAAAGAGUCGGAUUGUUUGGGAAUGCAGUCCAAAAUGGGUGGUAAAUUUCAUCUAAAGCUAAAUAUUGGCGAGAGACCGAUAGCGAACAAGUACCGUGAGGGAAAGAUGAAAAGAACUUUGAAAAGAGAGUUAAACAGUACGUGAAAUUGUCAAAAGGGAAGCGUUUGACACCAGUGUUGUUUUCUCGAAAAUCAAUUAAAAAUGGCUUGAUUUUGUGUUGUAUUGACCUUAAAAGCUUUCUGCACUUUUUUCAUGUCUUUUUUAAUGCACUUUUCGUAUAACAAGUCAACAUCAGUUUCUUUUGUUGUAAAAAGGUCAUUGGAAGGUGGCUUUCUUUUCGGAGAAAGUGUUUAUAGCCUUUGACUUCUGCAAUCGGAGAGAUUGAGGUCUGCAGCGUAGAUCCUUCUUGGAUUAGAUACAUUUGUGCUAAGUUAUAGUUUUUCAUAGACAACAUGUUGACUAUAUUAGUCAUGUAGCUUACUCGCUUAUGCUAAUUUUACCUACGCUUAGGAUGUUGAACGCGCACAGAGUCUC
rnacentral:rRNA from 1 species